rnacentral:misc_RNA from 1 species
GUUGUCCUUGUGUGUGUUUCUUUACAGCCGAUCCUGCGCACUUCUCCCUUCAAGGGUAUGACCUGCUGAACCUUCCAAAAGCGCAUCUUGAGACUGCAUGGCAAGAGUAUUGGAACGUUUCCAGCAGUAAAAAGGUGCCGUCCUACUAACGCAACAAGUUCUACAAUAAGUGCAAAGUUUUCUCCUUUCAGUUUUUUUUAAUUGUUAUCGUACCUACUUGCUUCUCAUAUCACUUGUCAGUGGCAGAAUCGU